AAGAAAGUAAGCAAGGGCGCAUGGCGGAUGCCUUGGCUCUCGGAGGCGAUGAAGGACGUGAUAAGCUGCGAUAAGCUUCGGGUAGGUGCAAAUAACCUUUGAUCCGAAGAUUUCCGAAUGGGACAACCCGACAUUCUGAAGGAAUGUCAUCCUGCUUGGCAGGAGGCUAACGCAGGGAACUGAAACAUCUUAGUACCUGCAGGAAAAGAAAAUAAUAAUGAUUCCCCAAGUAGUGGCGAGCGAACGGGGAUUAGCCCAAACCAAUGUUGUUACGGCAAUAUUGGGGUUGUAGGACCACGUUGUCGCAAGACAUUCAGUGAGAAGAAUUCUUUGGAAAAUGAAACCAUAGACGGUGAUAGUCCGGUAUUCGAAGCUGAACGAAGCGUAGUGGUAUCCUGAGUAGCGCGGGACACGAGGAAUCUUGCGUGAACCAGCCGGGACCAUCCGGUAAGGCUAAAUACUCCCGAGAGACCGAUAGCGAACCAGUACUGUGAAGGAAAGGUGAAAAGCACUUCGAAUAGAAGAGUGAAAUAGUCCCUGAAACCAUGCGCCUACAAGCGGUCGGAGCAGCUUAUGCUGUGACGGCGUGCCUUUUGCAUAAUGAACCUACGAGUUACUUUUUCCGGCAAGGUUAAGGAUCUAGAGAUCCGUAGCCGAAGCGAAAGCGAGUCUGAACAGGGCGAUAAGUCGGAAGGAGUAGACGCGAAACCAAGUGAUCUACCCUUGGCCAGGUUGAAGGUUAGGUAACACUAACUGGAGGACCGAACCGAUAAGCGUUGAAAAGCUUCCGGAUGAGCUGAGGGUGGGGGUGAAAGGCUAAUCAAACUUGGAGAUAGCUCGUACUCCCCGAAAUGCAUUUAGGUGCAGCCUUGUGAGUUACUAAUGUGAGGUAGAGCGACUGAUAAGAUGCGAGGGCUUCACCGCCUAUCAAGUCUUGAUAAACUCCGAAUGCGCAUUAGUUCUAUCACAGGAGUGAGGGCAUGGGUGCUAAGGUCCAUGUCCUAAAGGAGAAGAAUCCGGACCAUCAGCUAAGGUCCCGAAAUAGAUACUAAGUUGAACUAACGAAGUCAGAUUGCUAAGACAGCUAGGAUGUUGGCUUGGAAGCAGCCAUUCAUUUAAAGAGUGCGUAACAGCUCACUAGUCGAGGAGUUUGGCGUGGAUAAUAAUCGGGCAUUAAGUAUCUUACCGAAGCUAUGGGAUCAUUAAUGAUCGGUAGGGGAGCAUUCCACUCCGCGUCGAAGGUGAAGCGUGAGCUUUGCUGGAGCGUGUGGAAAAGCAAAUGUAGGUAUAAGUAACGAUAAAGGGGGUGAGAAACCCCCUCGCCGAAAGACUAAGGUUUCCUGAUCAACGCUAAUCGGAUCAGGGUUAGUCGGGUCCUAAGGCUCAGCCGAACGGUGAGGCCGAUGGCAGAACAGGUUAAUAUUCCUGUACUACCUUAAGGAGUGACGUGGAGACGGAGUCGUGACAACGCCGCGGACUGACGGAAUAGUCCGUUGAAGGGUGUAGAUGUUGAUUGUGGCAGGCAAAUCCACCACGAGAGUCGAACCUGAUAGUAUACCAAUUCCUUCGGGAAACGGUAAUAGUGCGUACGGACACACGUAGUCGGGUUGAAUAUACUAAGGCGCUUGAGUGAUUCACGGUUAAGGAACUAGGCAAAUUGACCCUGUAACUUCGGGAUAAAGGGUCCCAACGAGAGUUGGGCGCAGAGAAUAGGUCCAGGCAACUGUUUAACAAAAACACAGGGCUGUGCCAAAUUGAAAGAUCACGUAUACAGCCUGACACCUGCCCGGUGCUGGAAGGUUAAGAGGAGAUGUCAUCGCAAGAGAAGCAUUGAAUUGAAGCCCCAGUAAACGGCGGCCGUAACUAUAACGGUCCUAAGGUAGCGAAAUUCCUUGUCGGGUAAGUUCCGACCUGCACGAAUGGUGUAAUGAUCUGGACACUGUCUCAACCGUGAGCUCAGUGAAAUUGUAGUAUCGGUGAAGAUGCCGAUUACCCGCGAUGGGACGAAAAGACCCCGUGAACCUUUACUAUAGCUUAACAUUGAAUUUGGGUAAUUGAUGUGUAGGAUAGGCCGGAGACUUUGAAGCGCAGACGCCAGUUUGUGUGGAGUCGCUGUUGAAAUACGGCCCUUUGAUUAUUUGAGUUCUAACCCGUUGUAACGGGGACACUGUUUGGUGGGUAGUUUGACUGGGGUGGUCGCCUCCAAAAGUGUAACGGAGGCUUCUAAAGGUGCCCUCAGGACGAUUGGUAACCGUCCGUAGAGUGUAAUGGCAUAAGGGCGCUUGACUGGGAGACAUACAAGUCGAUCAGGUAGGAAACUAGAGCAUAGUGAUCCGGUGUUUCCGCAUGGAAGGGACAUCGCUCAAAGGAUAAAAGGUACUCCGGGGAUAACAGGCUGAUCCCUCCCAAGAGCUCAUAUCGACGGAGGGGUUUGGCACCUCGAUGUCGGCUCGUCACAUCCUGGGGCUGGAGAAGGUCCCAAGGGUUGGGCUGUUCGCCCAUUAAAGUGGCACGCGAGCUGGGUUCAGAACGUCGUGAGACAGUUCGGUCUCUAUCUAUCGUGGGCGUAUGAAAUUUGCGUGGCUCUGACACUAGUACGAGAGGACCGUGUUGGACUGACCUCUGGUUUACCAGUUGUGCCGCCAGGUGCAUUGCUGGGUAUCUAAGUCGGGAUUGGAUAAGUGCUGAAAGCAUCUAAGUACGAAGCCAGCCACAAGAUUAGAUUUCUUAGGGUCGUCAAAGACGAUGACGUUGAUAGGAUGCAGGUGUACAGGUGGUAACAUCAUAGCCGAGCAUUACUAAUUGCCCGUCCACUUUCUUUC
rnacentral:rRNA from 1 species